rnacentral:rRNA from 6 species
CACAAAAUGACUCUCGGCAACGGAUAUCUCGGCUCUUGCAUCGAUGAAGAACGUAGCGAAAUGCGAUACUUGGUGUGAAUUGCAGAAUCCCGUGAACCAUCGAGUCUUUGAACGCAAGUUGCGCCCGAAGCCAUUAGGCUGAGGGCACGCCUGCCUGGGUGUCACA